rnacentral:rRNA from 1 species
UACGGGGGAUGCAAGCGUUAUCCGGAAUUAUUGGGCGUAAAGCGUCCGUAGGUGGUUUUAUAAGUCUGUUGUGAAAGCGCGAGGCUUAACCUCGUAUAGGCAGUGCAAACUAUAAGGCUAGAGUACGGUAGGGGGAGGGAGAAUUUCCAGUGUAGCGGUGAAAUGCGUAGAUAUUGGGAGGAACACCGGAGGCGAAGGCAGUCCAUUGGGCAUGCACUGACACUGAGGUACGAAAGCUGGGGGAGCGAAAGGG